AGGGUACAGUGGUGAAAUCCAAGAUGGAGGGGCAGUUGCUCCAAGUGACCGACACCCAGCCCAGGAGCCAGAGUAAAGGUGGGAGGACCCAGAGAGAAACACAGAGCAGCAGAACAGUGCCAUGGACGGGUCAGGAUCUUCACAGAAGCAAGGCCUCCUUUCCCUACCUUUCCCCUUCCCUGGUAAAUUUCCUCAGCCUGCUCACCAAAGAGUGGGAGACAGGCUGCCUGCCGCCUUCGGCCAUGUGUCUCGGACCUUACUAUAUUAACCAACAUCUGUGCAGCCAGAGGUUCUGAGAACUCAAAAGAACUAGAAGGACCCUGGAUCACGUCCCCAGCCACUGGGAAUGUAAAUCGACACAUUCUGCCACCUUCAAGGAAGUCUAUUGGGGAAAAGGAAGCGUAGGUUCUAAAUCCCAAGGGUGGAUGGGAAAGGCUAUCAGGGCUGCCACUGACGCUGAUUCUCCAGAGAAGAUCCCGAGUUCUCUCAUCUUACAGAAUGCAGCUCACCCUCCCUGAGCAGAGACAUUGUGAGGAUUAAAGAUGAGCAAAAGUGGGAGACUGGGGCUCAGUCCCUGGGGGUGGCCUCUGUCCUUCCCUUUUGUGUAAAAAUAAAGCAAGACUUUUCAUGUCCAC